GGUUCAGGACGAACGCUGGCGGCGUGCCUAAUACAUGCAAGUCGAACGGUCUUUCUAUGGAAGCUUGCUUCACUGAGAAGAUAGUGGCGAACGGGUGAGUAACACGUGGGUAACCUGCCCAUAAGAGGGGGAUAACAUCCGGAAACGGGUGCUAAUACCGCAUAGUUUUCUUGAUCGCAUGAUUGAGAAAGGAAAGACGGCCUUUGUGCUGUCGCUUAUGGAUGGACCCGCGGCGUAUUAGUUAGUUGGUGAGGUAACGGCUCACCAAGACGAUGAUACGUAGCCGACCUGAGAGGGUGAUCGGCCACAUUGGGACUGAGACACGGCCCAAACUCCUACGGGAGGCAGCAGUAGGGAAUCUUCCGCAAUGGACGAAAGUCUGACGGAGCAACGCCGCGUGAGUGAAAGAAGGUUUUCGGAUCGUAAAACUCUGUUGUCAGAGAAGAACAAGUUGGAGAGUAACUGCUCCAGCCUUGACGGUAUCUGACCAGAAAGCCACGGCUAACUACGUGCCAGCCGCCGC
rnacentral:rRNA from 1 species